rnacentral:misc_RNA from 1 species
CUUGCCCCUCCCUGCUGCUGCCAUGGCUGAGCACUUCCCCUCUCCACGGCGCCUUCUCCCUCCUCUCUCCCUCUCUAGCGCAGGGAAGCUUCUUUUUUUUUCUUUCCUCCAUGGCGCUCCUGCUCGGGUCGUGCAUCCGCCGUCUCUGCUGCGCGCGGCACUCAGGCCUGCUUUGUCCUCUGCCGUGCUGUGCCGCCGCCUUGGAGCUCACCCUGGCGCUCGCUGGUGCCCCUGCUGCGCGACGUCGGCCAGGAGCGCCGUCGCUGGCUUCUCUGUUCGGGAGCAGGCCAUGUACGUGAGUUUGAGGAAGAAGAUGAUCCAUGUGUCUAUGGCAGGACCGAGAGGUGGUGAUCAUGCAAGUGAUGUGGUGCCAACCACAAGAUGCAGCUGGUGGACAACUUGAAGAAUGAUGGACAUGACCAGUGGAUGCUCGCCAAGCGAGUACCCCCCAGCAAACACUACCUAAGUGUCAAAUUAAAGGUACUACUUGAUUUGGUUGAUGGUGUGACUUGGCCUUCAUCCCUGCCACCGGGAUAGAUGGUCGAGUGGGUUACUGCUUCCGCAGGAGAGGACCAGGAGGAGUAGUGUGGCCAGGCUUCGCCAUGUUACUCGGUUCUUCUCCGUUAGUAUUUUUCGCUGCAUUAAAAGUUAUGGUUAUUAUUUCUAAAACUCCGAUAAUGUAAUCACUAAUGAUACUUAUUAAAUUUG